GAAAAUGCAUCUUUGUGAAAGGAGGGGCAGACAGAGAACGUGACUCUCUCACUGUUUGUGCCAGAGGUCAUAUCAACAGACCAACAAUCACAAGCUCUGUAUCUUCAAAGGGGAUAUACGAUGCAACAGAAAGCAGUUUUUGCGUCAUCAACACACGCGGCAUGCACAGAAGUCUUCAGGCGGGCAUAUGCUUUCUGGCCUGAGCAUCCUUAACCCCCCAAGAGAGCUUUGAUAAAAGUCACAUUAACCCGC